UUUUGAUUAAAACUGUUAGUAACUAAUUUGUGGAAGAGAUAAGAGACUACCAUUUAGGCAGUUAGUCAUCUUUAUGGGGAGUUUUCUUGGAAUAUACUAUCCGCAAUCUUUACAUUUUGACAACGUUGAUAACCUAAGGGUAAGCCCCAUGUUAUUUUUGGGUAUAAUUUAUUUUUAGUGAAAUUCAAAUGCGUUAGAUUAAGCCAUAAUAAAUGAAAGUUUAAUCGAGUCACUUAAUUAAAAUCGUUCAAAAGGAUAUAUAGCUUCGUUAACUUCUGGGUAGUUACUUUGUUCAACCUGCUUGCUUUAUCUUAUAGGGAAGUUCGAAUUAAAUCUCUUAUCACGUGACAUAAAUUAGUAUCAUCCUAUGAUCGUUUUCAUAAUAAUGUUAAAUGGGCUUAUCAUGUUAAACAAAGCAGUAUAUUUUAACUUCAAGGGGCUUACAAAAUGUUAGCCUAUGUAAUGAAUUUAUUAUUUGAAAUUGAUUAAUAAAAUAAUUAGUAUAUCAACAAUAAAGCAGCAAAGUUGAGGUUUACACCAGGGCGCUAUGAGUUUAUUAGUAUUAUUAGUAGCGAAUUAACUGGGUGCUACAAAACACUUUUUAUUAAGAAUUCUAAAUAUACGAGAAGCUCAAUAUAAGCAAUCACAUUUCUACGUAGAGAUCGACUGCUGAUUGUGCCAGGGAAUAGCAUAUAUUACAUUGCAGACUGGGAAACACUACGUUUACAGCGGUAUACAAAUAUUUACGAAGAAUCCAUUGCCCAUUUCCUGUUUUGUAGGCAGUUGGAUGCACUUUGGACAAGUGUCAUAAGGUGUCACCUAAGGUGCUAGCACCACCCCUCACCAUUCAUCCGAUCAUGUUAUUUUACUUUUUUGAGUUCUUUUCGGUUUCUGACAACAUUUGGAAUAAUGUGACAGGGCCUGUCGGCUACCAAAGUUGCCUUUUUGUCUCAGCACCGACGGCGAAAAGAAACUACCAUGGUGAGGAGAGGUGACAACUCGAAUGACAGCAGAAAUAAGAGCCACCUACAAAGUGUACACAAAUACCCUACUCCCACUCCCACUCCCAGUGGUGCCUACUGCCAUAUCUCGUACCUCCAACAACAUAUGGCUCACCAUUAUUCCAAGCAACAAACAAACAAACAAAUGAACAAAUAUUUGCCACAAAGAGCGAAGAAGACAAACCCACGAGGAAGACGACUGGGAGCCUGAAGAACGAUAAAAUGGCAUUUAUGAUAAAUACAUAAUACACGAUGUUUACCCACUCAUUCAGUAACGCAUAUAGAGCACCGAAAAAAAAUAAUAUCAUGAUUUUGAUUUAAAAAAUUAUGUCAUUUGAGUUAUCAAUUUAUUAGUACAAGUAAUCAAAAUGGGAAAGUUAUAUGGCUAUCUAGAAUGAUACACAUUGGAUUUUAAAAUUUCAGUUUCUUUUUUGCAGUGCAUGAUAUAUAGGCAAUAGACGUGUUGUCUACGGCAUUUGGCACAGCGAUGGGGAAUGGGAAUAGGAGUUGGGGAGCCUAGGAGCCAGGGAAACAGAACAGAAUUCAAGUGUCAAAGUGACAGUUUUGAAAUUGAUUGCAGCAGCGACAAUUGUGUGUGCGUUUGGCUGAUAAAUAAGGCAGCUUUAAACCGACUUAACCAAGAGCCAUUGGGGUUAUCUAAUGGAGCCAGAGAUAGACACCCCAGAUAGAAUAGCCAAGCUCCAUAUCAAUAUCAACUUGUUUCGAUGAUUGACAGGCGACACGUGGUCAGCUCCCUGCAGUUCAUGCGCAUUCGAUUAUCGCGAUCACGUCGCAGCUGUGGCAUAAACGAUAUUUGCCACAUAGACAACCCUACCUAGCCCAUUUUCCAUUCCGCCGAUGAGAAUGGAAUAUAAAUUAGAGUUGGAAAAUGGCAUAAAUUCUUGGCAUGCCUACGCGUCUGAGAAAUGAAUCGAUACCAAUCAACCAGACCCAUAAGCAAACCCAAGUAAAACCAGGCAAAAACCGAAAAUUAUUAGAAGUACGGGACGCCGCCUGUCAAAUAUCGCCAAACAAAUUGACAACGAGAGAGGUGUGACGGGGAGUGCGGAACUAAACAACGUAACGAAUACAACAGAACAUGGAAAUAAAGUAAAUUUAUGGUCGUGGCCCCCAACGAGAGCAUAAGGUGACCAGCGUGCCCCAAACACCUGGGAACACGCCAGUUCCCCUGUCUUGCAUAAAAAAAUCGUGUUCUUAGCUCGGAAAAAUGUCUAUAAAGGGUUGGAAAUUCGUGCUGAAGUACAUAAAUAAAGUGGCAUGUGAAAAUAUUUCACACGUGGUAGGGCAAAUAAUGCGCUGUGGGCAACAAUUUGUGAUUGUGGAGCACCACUAGCUGUUGGAUUGUUGGAUUGCUGGGCUAUUUGGUCUCCAUUAGAUACAAAUCGGCGGUGCUGUUGCGGUUCAUUAAUUCCGCGGCGUUUGACAAAUGCAGCGCCAGGAAACGACGACAACCACAAAACCAAGGCGACCAAACCGACCAAACCGACCGAUGGACUGAUUUGAAUACAUCGCUGCCAACGAUGUGCGGGCCAUUUGCAUUUUUAAACGAUUUUCUCAUUUGGGUUCUUUGGUUUUCUGUUUCGAAUUUUUUCUGCUUCAUUUUUAAUGUUUUCCUUUUUUUUUUUGGUUUUGUGUUGGAUUGCUUCUUUGGUUUUCUUGUUAGCGCUUCAAUUAUGUAAAGAGCGGUCGACAUUAUAUUCGUUUAGGGUCGCCGCCUUUCGGGGACUGUGGCCCCCACAUUUGAACCCACCGCCAAACGAUGAUAAGGGGUAUCGGGUUGAAAAUAUAUAUGUACAAACAGAUAUAUGACUGCACUCGCAUAACUGCACAUGUUCCUCUUUUUUGGACCACGCCCCGUACAUAAUUUCCAAAUGCCUCAGAUGAGCGGAGAAAAAAAGAAUUGCAAGUCUGCAAAAGACACGGUGGGGCAUAUAUUUAUUGGGGGCAAGGGGGCUGGUUGUUUCGGUGGCCUGGAUAGACCCCCAACACUUACGUGCCCGGCAAUGUAUGAAAAUUAAUGUUGGCAAUCUGUAAAAUCCUGUAAAGCGUAACUCAAACUCGCCACAGCACAAAAAAAAGCACUCCAAAAGCCAAGCGAAUUAAUAAGCAACGGGAUGCCCAGUGCUGGGAACUUGGCCAAUUGAAUCGAUGGCGGUUGGGAUGGGAAAGUUCUGUGCCUCCUUGUUCAAGAUCACUUAUAAUAUUUAAUAUUUAACCGAGAAAGCAGAGCAUAGAUUAUAAGGAUUUCUCUAGGAAUUGCUGUUCCCUUUAUAACAUACCCAACGAAAUGUCAUCUCUAGGCGGCAACUACAAAAAGUUGAUGCUUUUCUAUUAAUUUAUUUUUGUUUGUUGCUAGGCAUUAGGUCUAUUACAAAGUUGUAUUUUUGUUUUGCGAAUUUCAUGCAAUCCAGGGGACUUCGGUUGGGGAUAACAGCGAAUUGCAAAUAUGCACUAAAAUUACAUAUUUAAAUAAAGGCCCCUAAAACUAAAAUGGUAGCUUUUUAAAAUACAAUGUUAUCUUGUUAAUUUCAUUUAAAAUAAUAUUACAUUUAUAUUGUUUUUGGACAUGCAAGUAUAAGCGCAUUAACUGUUCGUUGUUGGCCGUUGCAAAUAUUUUUGAUUUUUAAUUAAAAUUGUGGCCGCGGAAAUUUGUGCGCGCUUCGGUGUGGAAGGAAACCCCGUUCCCCUCUCCCAUUGCCCCACUGGAUGGAUGCCUUGCUGCUGUUGCUGAUGCAAGUUGCAAGUUACAUGUUGCAUGUGUUGCAGGUUUUACAAGACGGGCGACAUCGCUUGUUCAACAUGCCUGUGCCUCCUUUUCCCCAUCUCGCACUCACACUCACAUCCCAGCGAAAUGAUCGACGACGUUGCAAAGUAUUAAAGUCAGCGCGACACAAUCUGCAUAUUAAAGGAAAAUGAAAAAAAUAAAAAACACACACACUGCGACAGCAACUUGUUGCACAAAUACCAGCGAAUGGAGUCCGGGUACAGUGGUACUUCGACUGCAAAUUGGUAGAUCAAAAGUUGGAAAAACAUAGGACUUCUUUAAAGAAGAUUUUUUGGGAUUAUGGUAGUUGCAGAAGUAAAGAUAUCCUUUCGGAUGUGAUUAAACUAUUAGAAAUCAUUAUCUGAUUGCUCCUACAUAAACAAUUUAAUACUUAAAAAUAAUUUCUAGUUUUACUCAUUUUUGAUCUUAUUAAAAAAAGCAAAGUUUAAUAUGAAAUUAGUAGAUUUUGCCCUGUACUUGCGCACAUGCAGAAAUUAAUACACGGCUGACGGGCUUGCAAUCCAAUGAAACGGCCACUGCGAACCGGCCACCACUGCAUAGGACGGGAUCCAAUCGAAGGGGAGGCUAGUGAGGCAGGGGAGGAUUGGAGCCGGGCCCAAACGGCUUGCAGGUGUUUGGCCCGGCCUAGAGAACCGGAAGAGAGAGAGAGACUGGCCUGGAGACAGGACAUUGCUCUGCGAGGCCCCAGCUGAUUGGAUUAGCUGUGAAUUGUGCCAAUUCAUGCUGCAGUUGGCAAUCCGCAAACAUUUCAUAAGCACAACAUUUCAUUCGCUUGACGUUGGCAGUGGUUGUAUGUAUAUACAUAUGUACAUAUUUCACUCUUCCGUUGGCUCAUAUGCAUUCGGCUGAACUUUUGCCACAACUUCCGCUGCGAACGACGUUGAGAGAAAUUCAAAUUAAAUGUUGCAUAUGUAACAUAUGCACCAACACCCAUU